UUUCUUUUAGUUCCAAAACAGCCGAUUGCUGCUUCUGCUGCUGUUGUUGUUGUUUGCUUUGCUUUUAUCGUCUUCGUUUUCGUUCUCGCCGCCGCAGCAACAGCAAGAGAUAAGCUUGUUGUCGUCGUCGCUGCCCGAUCGUAUUCUUUACACUCAUAUAUAUACAUAUACAAAUAUAUAUAUAUACAUAUAAAUGUUGCGCUUGUAUGACAGUGUCUAGUGGUGGUCGUAUUUCAGCUCAAAUCACAUGUCUGUUGCUGUCUUUGAUUGUGUGCGCUCGCGUAUAUAUAUGUGUGU